GACGGCUGCUGGCUUGACUGCUUCUACUGAAUUGACCAGUUACAAACAGACUGGUCAGGAGGUGAUUAACCUGUUGGAGCGGACUGAUUAUUAACCAAGAGUCAAGUGGCUAGGAAGGCAAGCAAAGGAGAUGAAACCCAGUGCCUCAAGAAUGCUGAUGGUCUUCCACUGAUCAACAUCCCCAGCCCUAGGAUUCCUCCGAGGAUGAAAUAAGAUGAUGGACAUGAAGCACCUGGGUCUGAAGCUCAUGAAGGUCUAAUGUCUCACUCCUAAAAUUUAACAU